rnacentral:ncRNA from 2 species
CUGGUGCCACACGACUGGCGCAGGUGGGCCACCACCAGGGAGUGAAGUCGAGCGCAUCGAACGCCUGGGUGCUGCUC